AUUCUUGCGCUUGGGGUAGCGUCUCCGGAAAUGAGGGUUAACCGAUCCGAGACUAUUGCUAUUUGAAAACUAUAUCCAAUCCCCCUUCACCGGCGAAAGCCGUGCUGAAGAAUUUCUGGAGCCUUCGGGC
rnacentral:snRNA from 1 species